CCCUAUGGGGUGCAGCAGGCGGAUCUGGCGGCGGAAGGGUGUCCAACGAUGUUGCAUUUAGCGGAAGCACAGGGUAUUCCGCUACUAUCGGACCGGGCGGAUCCGGCGGCCCCAGCGGGGCAUACGGAAGUCAUGGCAAUGCCGGGGGAACGACAUCACUUAACGGUGUGUCGGCGCCCGGCGGAAACUAUGGUAAUGUAACUUCCGGAGGCAGUUCCGCCGGUACCGGGUCUGGGUCAGGCGGCGCUGGAAAAUCAUCGUAUGGUGCCGGUGUCGCUGGCAGCGCGGGGGGAUCAUUCUUUAUCAAUGGUGUAAGUAUUGGAACCUUUGGCGGAGGCGGGGGGGC
rnacentral:rRNA from 1 species